UACGAACCGUCCAAACGUUAUUCGGAAUUACUGGGCUUAAAGGGUUUGUAGGCGGCCAUGUAAGUGGGGUGUGAAAGCCCUCGGCUCAACCGAGGAAUAGCGCUCCAAACUGUAUGGCUUGAGGGAGACAGGGGUAAGCGGAACUGAUGGUGGAGCGGUGAAAUGCGUUGAUAUCAUCAGGAACACCGGUGGCGAAAGCGGCUUACUGGGUCUCUUCUGACGCUGAGAAACGAAAGCUAGGGUAGCGAACGGG
rnacentral:rRNA from 1 species